GCGGCUGUGGCGAAAUUGGCAGACGCGCAAGAUUCAGGUUCUUGUGGGAGCAAUCCCGUGCUGGUUCAAAUCCAGUCAGCCGCA
rnacentral:tRNA from 1 species